rnacentral:rRNA from 1 species
GAUGAACGCUGGCGGCGUGCCUAAUACAUGCAAGUCGAGCGAACGGACGAGAAGCUUGCUUCUCUGAUGUUAGCGGCGGACGGGUGAGUAACACGUGGAUAACCUGCCUAUAAGACUGGGAUAACUUCGGGAAACCGGAGCUAAUACCGGAUGAUAUUUUGAACCGCAUGGUUCAAAAGUGAAAGACGGUUUUGCUGUCACUUAUAGAUGGAUCCGCGCUGCAUUAGCUAGUUGGUAAGGUAACGGCUUACCAAGGCAACGAUGCAUAGCCGACCUGAGAGGGUGAUCGGCCACACUGGAACUGAGACACGGUCCAGACUCCUACGGGAGGCAGCAGUAGGGAAUCUUCCGCAAUGGGCGAAAGCCUGACGGAGCAACGCCGCGUGAGUGAUGAAGGUCUUCGGAUCGUAAAACUCUGUUAUUAGGGAAGAACAUAUGUGUAAGUAACUGUGCACAUCUUGACGGUACCUAAUCAGAAAGCCACGGCUAACUACGUG